CUUUUAACGAGCUUUUGAAACAUGUUUGAGGAGAACAGCCCCAGAAAUUAUAAUUGCUCCAAACCAUAUGUAGUUGUCUAUCUUGCUGUAGGCUGGAGUCGUUAUUUCUCGAUAACUAGGUGUUUUUUUUGGGAAGUAUCCCAAAAGUCGGUUGAUGAGAUUUUCGUCGAGCAUGGCAAGUUCCUCCAAAGACCACAGUUCGCAAAUCUCAAUCAUCCAUCUCAUUCUUUUGCGACUGUUUUCAGGUUCGGGAACAAUGUCUCGUAAUUUUUGUCGUAAAAGGCCAGUUUUUUCCAAUGCCAUACCAGUAGCUGGAUUGAUUGAACUUUCGAUUUUUUUUCGUAUUAAACUGGCAAGUUUUGGACCUUUACCAUUGGUGCUAACCAUAAUUUGUAGAGGGCCGUUACGGAUUUCAGACCCAAAGUAGAAAUCACAUUCAGGUGGAAUAUCCGCCGCAUUGACCGGGAUUUUUUUGCUUUUGCAUAACUUAUAAAUUUCGGAAGACAAGCUGGGAUCAUCUAUGGCUGUAAGUACCAUGUUUACAUCGUCAGACAAAUCUUCGACUAGAAAUCCCCUGUCUCGCCAUUCAACUUGCUUCUCCUGUAUUCUCCAAGCCACUUCUUUACAAAGACCAGCUUUUGGACUUACAACGAUAACAUGGGCAUCCGCAUUCAAAACAUGCAAUAUACGCCCAGCUGCCACAACGCCACCUCCAACAAUUAAUACUUUUUUACCUUGUGCACGCCAAGCAAUAAUUAAUGAUCUAAAGCUUAGAUUAGCCUAAAAAUUACCUUGAGAUACAUCAAAAAACUUUGCUAGCUUUCAUUUUGUAUGCUUUGCUAAUUUUUCAAUUCUGUGUAGAUGAAAGUUAAGAUACUAAAAAGCUGAAAAUGAUUUAUAGAGCCUUGUAACUUCAUAAAGAUGCUUGACUUACCCACCAGGCUGCACAGACUGAUAUUUUGAAGCCAUUAUUCAAAUUUUAUCUUAACCAAGUGUAGGUGUUCCUGUAUACUUGAGAAUUAUAGUAUCGCCAAUUACAAUUCGACAUUCAGUAUCUGCUUCCCUAUACGGGUUAAUAGUUGGGAAUCCUAUUACGCGUAUACUAUUCGUUUAUUUAAGACCUAAAUUUUCCAGUGAAUUAAAACUACCUUGUGAAUAAAAUCCCGAGGACGUGCAAAUUUUUGAAACUAUUUCAUAGCACCAACUAAGCAUAUUCCUAUACAUCAUAGAUUAAUUAAUAUGCUAAAUUUAUAUAUUUUUUUCAUUGACAAGAAAU